AUGGAAUGCUGGGAAAGGUCUGAGACAACAGUAAAAUAAAAAGAUUUGCUUUACAGCACUUCCGUUCCUGUGCAUAAUGUCCAGACACAGAGAUUCUAGGCUUUAGAUGAAAUCUUUUGAUACCACAUUUGUUCUUAACCCCACCCCCCUUCCCCACUCCUGCCUUGAUUGGUGUACUUACAGAGCUCAUAGCCUAUACAUAAAUUAUGCAGAGUGGGGGAGGGAGAAGGCAUGCAUGCUGUUGCGUUGCCUUUAAGAAUAAUCUAAAGAAAUGCACAUAACAAAAAUUGUACAAACCAGGGUGCCUCCAGCUGUUGCAGAACUACAACUCCCAGCAUGCCUGGACAGCCGAAGGCUGUCCGGGCAUGCUGGUAGUUGUAGUUUUUCAACAGCUGGAGGCACCCUAGUUGGGGAACUAAUCUACACUGGGCAUCUAAUAAAUUUUUUCCUUCCUCUGCUUUAGCACUGCUAGAUAUAUGUCUUUUUCCCAGCCUUGAUUGGUUGACUUACAGAGCUCAGUGCCUAUACAUCAAUUAUGCAGGGUGGGGGAGGGAGAAGGCAUGCAUGCUGUUGUGUUGCCUUUAAGAAUAAUCUAAAGAAAUGCACAUAACAAAAGUUUUACAAACCAAGGCGCCUCCAGCUGUUGCAAAACUACAACUCCCAGGCUGUCCGGGCAUGCUGGGAGUUGUAGUUUUGCAACAGCUGGAGGCACCCUAGUUGGGGAACUAACCUACACUGGGCAUCUAAUACAUUUUUUUCUUCCUCUGCUUUAGCACUGCUAGAUACAUGUCUUUUUUUCAGCCUUAUAAGCUAUAUUUCUAUGACUUUUAUGCAAGUUUCAUUCAGAUCAAUGGGACAAUGGCACAAAAUCCGCUGCAUGAAUCCACCCCAAGUAUCUAGUGCGGAGUGUGAACAGUUACUCGUUCUGUAGUUUAUGUUGUAUUCAUGAGCUCUGCUAAGUAGUAACCUCCGUGUAGGAAGACCACAUAUGAACAUGUCUAAAUUAGUCCUGAUAAUAGACACCGACCAGCGGUCAUUUAUCAUUCAUUUAUGUAAAUGGGGCCCAGAAGCCGGCGGCUUGUCAUUGAUUAAUAAAGACCUCGCUGUCAUUUUGCUCUGAUUCAAACAAAUGUGUCCUUAAUGCACAACUGAUUUAAAGGGCCAGCAAACCUAAAGUCUAUCUUAUCUCCAUUUGUUGAAGGCAGUCGAAUGCAAUCUUUUGUUUCUUGUUAUCAGCCAUCGUAAAGUAUUACUAUCACUUAAAGCGUACCUGUCCUAUCACAGAAAAAAAUAAUGCUUAUGUUUUACUCACUAGGUCAUGCAGAUGCUUUACAUGUCUUUUUUUUAAUGUGUUUAGCUUCUGUAUUUGGCUCAUAAAUUCCUCCGUUCUGCUGUUCACUCAUUCUGACAUCCACUUCUCAGGAAGGGGUGUGUCCGAGGCAAGCACUGAGCCCGCCCUCACUUACCAUGCAUUCACUUCCUCCCUGAGUCUGUUCUGCUGGGUCUCUUGAUCCAAUCACUGCAGGGUGCUCUAUAACCCCCUUCUCUCUGUUUUCAUUCUGCAGUAUGACAGGACAGGAGUGAGCACGGAGGAGUGCUAGUCCCACCCUCACUUCCUCGACUGACCUCAGCAGGAGCCUCUUAAAGGGGCCAGAAGCUUAAAAAGAAAGAGUGUGCAAUUGUUCUGGUCAGCGCUGGUCAGACACAUUCACCGCUGACAGACACGUCCGAUGGCUGACACGCCGGUCGAACAUAACAUCUGAAUCAUGACAACGAAUGAAGAAAAUGAUGAGUGAUACUUUGUAUCAGGAUUGUCACGCAUGUCAAGACGCUUGCUUUCAUAUGUCUUUCUACUGUCACAGCCAUGAUAAAAGUGACACUUGAUGUGCAGCUGUGUUCACACAUCACACCGCUAUCCGGAUAUUGUCAGGAUCCUCUUAUGAUACAUGGCACAGGGGAGAGUUUCCCAUCAUGACACAUUCAUUGGCUUCUAUCACUAUGUAUUAUGACAAUUGGGAUGUUUGGAUGGAAUAAAAAACGAGUAAAAAUGGC